rnacentral:rRNA from 1 species
AGCGUACACGGUGGAUGCCCUGGCAGUCAGAGGCGAUGAAGGACGUGCUAAUCUGCGAUAAGCGUCGGUAAGGUGAUAUGAACCGUUAUAACCGGCGAUUUCCGAAUGGGGAAACCCAGUGUGAUUCGUCACACUAUCAUUAACUGAAUCCAUAGGUUAAUGAGGCGAACCGGGGGAACUGAAACAUCUAAGUACCCCGAGGAAAAGAAAUCAACCGAGAUUCCCCCAGUAGCGGCGAGCGAACGGGGAGCAGCCCAGAGCCUGAAUCAGUGUGUGUGUUAGUGGAAGCGUCUGGAAAGGCGCGCGAUACAGGGUGACAGCCCCGUACACAAAAAUGCACAUGCUGUGAGCUCGAUGAGUAGGGCGGGACACGUGGUAUCCUGUCUGAAUAUGGGGGGACCAUCCUCCAAGGCUAAAUACUCCUGACUGACCGAUAGUGAACCAGUACCGUGAGGGAAAGGCGAAAAGAACCCCGGCGAGGGGAGUGAAAAAGAACCUGAAACCGUGUACGUACAAGCAGUGGGAGCACAGAGCAAUCUGUGUGACUGCGUACCUUUUGUAUAAUGGGUCAGCGACUUAUAUUCUGUAGCAAGGUUAACCGAAUAGGGGAGCCGAAGGGAAACCGAGUCUUAACUGGGCGUUAAGUUGCAGGGUAUAGACCCGAAACCCGGUGAUCUAGCCAUGGGCAGGUUGAAGGUUGGGUAACACUAACUGGAGGACCGAACCGACUAAUGUUGAAAAAUUAGCGGAUGACUUGUGGCUGGGGGUGAAAGGCCAAUCAAACCGGGAGAUAGCUGGUUCUCCCCGAAAGCUAUUUAGGUAGCGCCUCGUGAAUUCAUCUCCGGGGGUAGAGCACUGUUUCGGCAAGGGGGUCAUCCCGACUUACCAACCCGAUGCAAACUGCGAAUACCGGAGAAUGUUAUCACGGGAGACACACGGCGGGUGCUAACGUCCGUCGUGAAGAGGGAAACAACCCAGACCGCCAGCUAAGGUCCCAAAGUCAUGGUUAAGUGGGAAACGAUGUGGGAAGGCCCAGACAGCCAGGAUGUUGGCUUAGAAGCAGCCAUCAUUUAAAGAAAGCGUAAUAGCUCACUGGUCGAGUCGGCCUGCGCGGAAGAUGUAACGGGGCUAAACCAUGCACCGAAGCUGCGGCAGCGACGCUGAUGCGUUGUUGGGUAGGGGAGCGUUCUGUAAGCCUGUGAAGGUGUGCUGUGAGGCAUGCUGGAGGUAUCAGAAGUGCGAAUGCUGACAUAAGUAACGAUAAAGCGGGUGAAAAGCCCGCUCGCCGGAAGACCAAGGGUUCCUGUCCAACGUUAAUCGGGGCAGGGUGAGUCGACCCCUAAGGCGAGGCCGAAAGGCGUAGUCGAUGGGAAACAGGUUAAUAUUCCUGUACUUGGUGUUACUGCGAAGGGGGGACGGAGAAGGCUAUGUUGGCCGGGCGACGGUUGUCCCGGUUUAAGCGUGUAGGCUGGUUUUCCAGGCAAAUCCGGAAAAUCAAGGCUGAGGCGUGAUGACGAGGCACUACGGUGCUGAAGCAACAAAUGCCCUGCUUCCAGGAAAAGCCUCUAAGCAUCAGGUAACAUCAAAUCGUACCCCAAACCGACACAGGUGGUCAGGUAGAGAAUACCAAGGCGCUUGAGAGAACUCGGGUGAAGGAACUAGGCAAAAUGGUGCCGUAACUUCGGGAGAAGGCACGCUGAUAUGUAGGUGAAGUCCCUCGCGGAUGGAGCUGAAAUCAGUCGAAGAUACCAGCUGGCUGCAACUGUUUAUUAAAAACACAGCACUGUGCAAACACGAAAGUGGACGUAUACGGUGUGACGCCUGCCCGGUGCCGGAAGGUUAAUUGAUGGGGUCAGCGCAAGCGAAGCUCUUGAUCGAAGCCCCGGUAAACGGCGGCCGUAACUAUAACGGUCCUAAGGUAGCGAAAUUCCUUGUCGGGUAAGUUCCGACCUGCACGAAUGGCGUAAUGAUGGCCAGGCUGUCUCCACCCGAGACUCAGUGAAAUUGAACUCGCUGUGAAGAUGCAGUGUACCCGCGGCAAGACGGAAAGACCCCGUGAACCUUUACUAUAGCUUGACACUGAACAUUGAGCCUUGAUGUGUAGGAUAGGUGGGAGGCUUUGAAGUGUGGACGCCAGUCUGCAUGGAGCCGGCCUUGAAAUACCACCCUUUAAUGUUUGAUGUUCUAACGUUGACCCGUUAUCCGGGUUGCGGACAGUGUCUGGUGGGUAGUUUGACUGGGGCGGUCUCCUCCUAAAGAGUAACGGAGGAGCACGAAGGUUGGCUAAUCCUGGUCGGACAUCAGGAGGUUAGUGCAAUGGCAUAAGCCAGCUUGACUGCGAGCGUGACGGCGCGAGCAGGUGCGAAAGCAGGUCAUAGUGAUCCGGUGGUUCUGAAUGGAAGGGCCAUCGCUCAACGGAUAAAAGGUACUCCGGGGAUAACAGGCUGAUACCGCCCAAGAGUUCAUAUCGACGGCGGUGUUUGGCACCUCGAUGUCGGCUCAUCACAUCCUGGGGCUGAAGUAGGUCCCAAGGGUAUGGCUGUUCGCCAUUUAAAGUGGUACGCGAGCUGGGUUUAGAACGUCGUGAGACAGUUCGGUCCCUAUCUGCCGUGGGCGCUGGAGAACUGAGGGGGGCUGCUCCUAGUACGAGAGGACCGGAGUGGACGCAUCACUGGUGUUCGGGUUGUCAUGCCAAUGGCACUGCCCGGUAGCUAAAUGCGGAAGAGAUAAGUGCUGAAAGCAUCUAAGCACGAAACUUGCCCCGAGAUGAGUUCUCCCUGACUCCUUGA